GACGAACGCUGGCGGCGUGCUUAACACAUGCAAGUCGAACGGAAAGGCCCUUCUUUUGUUGGUUGCUCGAGUGGCGGACGGGUGAGUCACACGUGAGUAACCUUCCCUUUCCUGUUGGCUAACUUCAGGUAACUGGGGCUAAUACCGGAUAUGAUUUCCUGCUGCAUGGUGUGGGUUGGCAAGUUUCGGCGGUUGGGGAUGGACUCGCGGCUUAUCAGCUUGUUGGGGGGGUGGUGGCUAACAAAGGCUUUGACGGGUAGCCUGCCUGGGCGGGUGACCGGCCACAUUGGGCCUGGGAUCCGGCCAAGACUCCUACGGGAGGCAGCAGUGGGGAAUAUUGCACAAUGGGCGGAAGCCGGAUGCAGCAACGCCGCGUGCGGGAUGACGGCCUUCGGGUGUUAACCCGCUUUAGCAUGUGACGAAGCGUGAGUGACGGUAAUGGGUAAAGAAGCACCGGCUAACUACGUG
rnacentral:rRNA from 1 species